AAAAAGAGGAAGGAGUUCUGAGACUAACCUAGGCGAUUCGAAGAAGUACGAAGGUGCGAAAAGGGGGACGGCUCGAGGAACGCCUAAGGCUGGGAAGGGCGCUGAGAAAAAUCGAAGUUCUCAGGAAGAAGAAGGAUGCCAGAACGAGACCGUCGGAUAGAGCGGGACUCUUGGAGGAGGGGUGCGGGUUUAAAUAGGCCCUG
rnacentral:lncRNA from 1 species